AUACUUACCUGGCAGGGGAGAUACCAUGAUCAAGAAGGUGGUUUUCCCAGGGCGAGGCUUAUCCUUUGCACUCCGGAUGUGCUGACCCCUGCGACACCCCCCCCAAUUUAAAUACAUAGCUUUGAAAAAAAAUUCCAUUUUGGGGGGUACUCCCUCGUACUGUUGAAA